rnacentral:rRNA from 1 species
GUGGGGAAUAUUGGACAAUGGGCGAAAGCCUGAUCCAGCCAUGCCGCGUGAGUGAUGAAGGCCUUAGGGUUGAAAAGCUCUUUCAGUAGGGAAGAUAAUGACGCUACCUACAGAAGAAGCCCCGGCUAACUUCGUGCCAGCAGCCGCGGUAAUACGAAGGGGGCUAGCGUUGUUCGGAUUUACUGGGCGUAAAGCGCACGUAGGCGGAUUGGUCAGUUAGAGGUGAAAUCCUGGAGCUCAACUCCAGAACUGCCUUUAAUACUGCCAGUCUAGAGUCCAGAAGAGGUGAGUGGAACUCCUAGUGUAGAGGUGGAAUUCGUAGAUAUUAGGAAGAACACCAGUGGCGAAGGCGGCUCACUGGUCUGGUACUGACGCUGAGGUGCGAAAGCGUGGGGAGCAAACAGGAUUAGAUACCCGUGUAGUCC